rnacentral:rRNA from 1 species
GCCAGUUCAAAAUGAGCGGUGUGGGAAGUAGCCUCGGCUACGUGCCUUGCACUCUUGUUGGGUUGAGGCUUCUUCUUUUGCUCUCUGUGGUCGCGAAGCAAGACCGUUCCGUAGGUGAACCUGCGGAAGGAUCAUUA